AGCUCCAAUAGCGUAUAUUAAAGUUGUUGCGGUAAAAAAGCUCGUAGUUGGAUUUCUUCUGAGAAUGAGCGGUCUACACCAUGUGUACGCAUCUGCUUCAGUCUCGGAAUCUUCGCAGAAUACGUCUCUGCGCUUGAUUGCGUGGAACGGACUCUGUGACUUUUACUUUGAGGAAAUUAGAGUGUUCACGGCAGGCUAUCGCCAGAAUACAUUAGCAUGGAAUAAUAAUAUAGGAUCUCGAUUCUAUUUUGUUGGUUUCUAGAAGCGAGAUAAUGAUUAAUAGGGACAAUUGGGGGCAUUCGUAUCAACACGUCAGAGGUGGAAUUCUUGGAUUGUGUUGCGACGAACUACUGCGAAAGCAUUUGCCAAGGAUGUUUUCA
rnacentral:rRNA from 1 species